rnacentral:tRNA from 1 species
UCCCAGGUGGAUUAGAGAGUUAAGGAUCUGGCAUUGUCACUGCUAUGGUGCGGGUUCAAUCCCUGGCCUGGGAA